rnacentral:rRNA from 14 species
AAACCCGCUGAAUUUAAGCAUAUAAGUAAGCGGAGGAAAAGAAACUAAAUAGGAUUCCCUCAGUAAUGGCGAAUGAACAGGGAUGAGCUCAGUAUGGAAAUUGGGGCCUGUGGCCUUGAAUUGUAGUCUGGAGAUGUACCACCAACUGGGGCGCAGAUGUAAGCCUCUUGGAAAAGAGCAUCAAUGAGGGUGAGAGUCCCGCUUGGCAUCUGCAGUCCCCAGUGCACGGUGUACCUUCUAAGAGUCACGUUCCUCGGGAUUGGAGCGCAAAUCGGGUGGUAAGUUUCAUCUAAAGCUAAAUAUAGUUUCGAGACCGAUAGCAAACAAGUACCAUGAGGGAAAGGUGAAAAGGACUUUGAAAAGAGAGUUAAAAGUGCCUGAAAUUGCUGAAAGGGAAGCGAAUGGAACCAGCGUAACUUGGCGAGAUUGCUGCGUGUCAAUGUGAUUGCUUGCUGCUUCAACGUAAGUGUUGUAGUAAGUCUUGAACAGGACAUGCGCGGUGCUUCUUGCCUUGUGUGUCACCGUCAGUUCGCAACUGGGGAAAACUUCAGGGACAUGGUAGCCUGUCUCCGGGUGGGUGAACGUGUUUGCUGGAACUCAUUUGCGGAUUGCUUGGUGACUAAAUGGUUCCAUCUGACCCGUCUUGAAACACGGACCAAG